UGUUAAAAUUUUUAUCCAUUUGUACUGUUAAAAACUGUCAUGGUUGAUGGAAUAAUCAGACAGUGACAUGUGAUGAGUCAUAUGUACUUCAUGCUAAUGUAUCGAAACUAAUUUUUAAUAGUAGAAAUGAAUGAAAUUUUUAACA
rfam:Gossypium raimondii Chr06_contig_1293, whole genome shotgun sequence.